rnacentral:rRNA from 1 species
AGUGAACGCUGGCGGUAGGCCUAACACAUGCAAGUCGAACGGCAGCACAGUAAGAGCUUGCUCUUACGGGUGGCGAGUGGCGGACGGGUGAGGAAUACAUCGGAAUCUACUUUUUCGUGGGGGAUAACGUAGGGAAACUUACGCUAAUACCGCAUACGACCUACGGGUGAAAGCAGGGGAUCUUCGGACCUUGCGCGAUUGAAUGAGCCGAUGUCGGAUUAGCUAGUUGGCGGGGUAAAGGCCCACCAAGGCGACGAUCCGUAGCUGGUCUGAGAGGAUGAUGAGAGAGAACGGGACUGAGCCCCGGAACAGACUCCUACGGGAGGCAGCAGUGGGGAAUAUAGGACAAGGGGGGAAAGCAGGAACCACCAAGGCCGCGUGAGUGAUGAAGGCGGUAGGGUUGUAAAGCUCGUUUACCCGGGACGAGAAUGACAGUACCGGGAGAAUAAGCUCCGGCUAACUCCGUG